rnacentral:rRNA from 1 species
UACGUAGGGUGCGAGCGUUAAUCGGAAUUACUGGGCGUAAAGCGUGCGCAGGCGGUUCGCUAAGACCGAUGUGAAAUCCCCGGGCUUAACCUGGGAACUGCAUUGGUGACUGGCGGGCUAGAGUGCGGCAGAGGGGGGUAGAAUUCCACGUGUAGCAGUGAAAUGCGUAGAGAUGUGGAGGAAUACCGAUGGCGAAGGCAGCCCCCUGGGCUAACACUGACGCUCAUGCACGAAAGCGUGGGGAGCAAACAGG